CGGGACGUUCGACGAUUGGUGGUUCUGCUGCCAGUGGAGGAGCAGGCAGGAGGCCAAAAAGGGGAUCUCUGACCACAAGGUCACUGUGCGAUCUUUCCAGCGGUUCUCGUGGGAAGAUCGAGUGGGAGGUGUUGAGUUGAGUUGCAGACCGAGCCCCUCUCUGGCUGGGAGGUAGGUUUAGGUGAGUCUCUCAGGCUGGAGGCGGAGAUUUUAAUGCACCAGGUGGAGAGGAUCUGGCGAUCAGGGGAGUUGGAGUCACUCACUCACAGGACAGUGAAGAGCGAGCAGUGUGAGAAAGCGAGAUUGAAGAGCUUGGGAAGAGGAGACUGCAGGAAUAAAGCUUGCAAAGCCUGAAGAAGGAGCCGGUGAGCUUUUGAGUGGCUGACUACUUAUGGCAUGAAAUGCAAAAUCAAAUGUCCAUAUAUUUAAUGUGUUUUAAAAAGUAUUCAAGCUAAAAGUAAUUGGAUAAAACUUGAAUUGUGUGUAUUCAGCGGAGUUAAAAUCUGGUGAAGUUUAAAGGUUAAAAUCAUCAUUAAAUAGUGUUUUAAAAAUGUAUUUAAUUUAGUAUUGGGAUACUUUAAAUUUGGGUUGUCUUUCUACUUAUUUUGGGGUUAAUUUCCAGUAGAUUAUAAAUUAAGUAUGUGAUGUUGGGUAUGUGAAUUGAUUAUGGUUUCUU
ensembl:lncRNA